AAAGCUUAACUUUGGAACUGCAAUUAAAACUGCUCGACUAGAGUUUGAUAGAGGAAAGCGUAAUACAUAGUGUAGAGGUGAAAUUCGUAGAUAUUAUGUAGAACACCAGUUGCGAAGGCGGCUUUCUGGAUCAACACUGACGCUGAGGCGCGAAAGUAUGGGUAGCAAAGAGGAUUAGAUACCCUCGUAGUCCAUACCAUAAA
rnacentral:rRNA from 1 species